rnacentral:rRNA from 1 species
AGUAAUGUAUCGGAACGUGCCCAGUAGCGGGGGAUAACUACGCGAAAGCGUAGCUAAUACCGCAUACGCCCUACGGGGGAAAGCAGGGGAUCGCAAGACCUUGCACUAUUGGAGCGGCCGAUAUCGGAUUAGCUAGUUGGUGGGGUAACGGCUCACCAAGGCGACGAUCCGUAGCUGGUUUGAGAGGACGACCAGCCACACUGGGACUGAGACACGGCCCAGACUCCUACGGGAGGCAGCAGUGGGGAAUUUUGGACAAUGGGGGAAACCCUGAUCCAGCCAUCCCGCGUGUGCGAUGAAGGCCUUCGGGUUGUAAAGCACUUUUGGCAGGAAAGAAACGUCGCGGGUUAAUACCCCGCGAAACUGACGGUACCUGCAGAAUAAGCACCGGCUAACUACGUGCCAGCAGCCGCGGUAAUACGUAGGGUGCAAGCGUUAAUCGGAAUUACUGGGCGUAAAGCGUGCGCAGGCGGUUCGGAAAGAAAGAUGUGAAAUCCCAGAGCUUAACUUUGGAACUGCAUUUUUAACUACCGGGCUAGAGUGUGUCAGAGGGAGGUGGAAUUCCGCGUGUAGCAGUGAAAUGCGUAGAUAUGCGGAGGAACACCGAUGGCGAAGGCAGCCUCCUGGGAUAACACUGACGCUCAUGCACGAAAGCGUGGGGAGCAAACAGGAUUAGAUACCCUGAUAGUCCACGCCCUAAACGAUGUCAACUAGCUGUUGGGGCCUUCGGGCCCUUGG